UACGUAGGUGGCAAGCGUUGUUCGGAAUUAUUGGGCGUAAAGGGCGCGUAGGCGGUUUGUUAAGUCGGCUGUGAAAGCCCGGGGCUCAACCCCGGAGGGUCAGCCGAUACUGGCAGACUAGAGUACGGAAGAGGUAGCUGGAAUUCCCGGUGGUAGCGGUGAAAUGCGUAGAUAUCGGGAGGAACACCUGAGGCGAAGGCGGGCUACUGGGCCGAUACUGACGCUGAUGCGCGAAAGCCAGGGGAGCGAACGGG
rnacentral:rRNA from 1 species